rnacentral:rRNA from 1 species
AUUGAACGCUGGCGGCAGGCUUAACACAUGCAAGUCGAGCGGAGAUGAGGUGCUUGCACCUUAUCUUAGCGGCGGACGGGUGAGUAAUGCUUAGGAAUCUGCCUAUUAGUGGGGGACAACAUUCCGAAAGGAAUGCUAAUACCGCAUACGCCCUACGGGGGAAAGCAGGGGAUCUUCGGACCUUGCGCUAAUAGAUGAGCCUAGGUCGGAUUAGCUAGUUGGUGGGGUAAAGGCCUACCAAGGCGACGAUCUGUGGCGGGUCUGAGUGGAUGAUCCGCCACACUGGGACUGAGACACGGCCCAGACUCCUACGGGAGGCAGCAGUGGGGAAUAUUGGACAAUGGGCGGAAGCCUGAUCCAGCCAUGCCGCGUGUGUGAAGAAGGCCUUUUGGUUGUAAAGCACUUUAAGCGAGGAGGAGGCUACCUGGAUUAAUACUCUAGGAUAGUGGACGUUACUCGCAGAAUAAGCACCGGCUAACUCUGUGCCAGCAGCCGCCGUAAUAC